rnacentral:lncRNA from 1 species
AUUUUUCCUCCUCCUUAAAAUUUAUAUCAUCUAUAAAAAUUGUGUUGCACCCAGCUCCAAGAAACUUGGUAUUAGCAUGGUUAUUUAUUGGGAAAGGUGGUGUGGCAAAGCCGCUUCCUUAAAGAAAAUGCAAAAAUGAUUAAACCUUUAGAAAAUUCCUUAAAAACUUACAGCACAAUAUCCCAAGGGGAACCCUGGAAGAUUUAGGGACUAUUUCAAGAGUAAUUUCCCGAUGAGAACCUUCCAGGAAUGCAAAACCCCUUGAAGAAUUGCGUUUACAGGUUUAAUUGUGUUCAUUUUUAUGCCCUCGGAGAAGGGAGCGGGGCCGAGGGUGGGUGUGAGGGGCCCUUUUUCCUUUUCUUUUUUCUCUUUUUUUCUCUUCUGUUUUCUUUUUUUUUCUCUCUUUUUUCUUCUUUUUUCUUUUCUCUUCUUCCUUUUUCCUUUUUUCUUUUUUCUUUUUUCCUUUUUCUUUUUUCUUCUUUUCUUUCUCUUUUUCUUUUUUCUCUCUUUUUCUUUUUUCUUCCUUUUUCAUUUUUCUUUUUCCUUUUUUCUUUUUCCUUUUUGUCUCUCUUUCUUUUUCUUUUUACUUUUUUUCUCUUUUCACUUUUCUCCCCUUAGUUUUUUUUUCUCUUUUUUCUUUUCUUCUCUUUUUUUCUUUUUUUCUCUUUUUUCUUCUUUUUUUCCUGUUUUUUCCUCUUUUCUUCGCUUUUUUGUUUUCUUCUCUUGUUUUGCUAUUUCUUCUUUUUUUUGUCUUUUUUCUUCACUUUUUUCUCCUUUUUUUCUCUUUUUACUUCUCUCUCUUUACUAUUCCUCUCUUUUUGCUUUUCUUCUCUUUUUUCCUAUUUUUUUCUUUUAUUUUUAUUUUUCUAUUUUUUCUUUUUUUCCUCACUUCUCUUUUUUCCUAUUUUUCCCUUUUUUCUUUUUGCUUUUCUCUCUUUACUUUUUCUCUCUUUUUUCUUUUCUUCUCUUUUUUCCUAUUUCUUCUUUUUUUUCUUAUUUUUCUCUUUUUCCUUUUUUUCCUCUCCUCUUUUUUUCCUGUUUUUUCUCUCUUUUAUUUUUUUCUUUUUGCUUUUCUCUAUUUUUUUAUUUUUUCUUCUCUUUUUUUUUUUCCUAUUUUUUUCUUUUUUUCCGUUUUUUCUUUUUUUCCUCUCUUCUCUUUUUUCCCUGGGACAGUGGGAGGUGUCCCUGCCAUGGCA